AUGGCGCAGUGUCUCCGGGGCAAGGGCGGCGCCGCCGCCGUCGGGGAGGCGCUCCGCAAGGCGGCCCCGUGGCAGCGGGCGGCCUCGGCGUCGUACCACCACACGAUCCAGGCGGUGCCGCGGGAGACGGCCGGCCCGCGCGCGGCGGCGCGCGAGCGCCGCAACGGCAACGUUCCGGCCGUGCUGCUCACCCUGGCCGGCGCCGGGCCCGGAGAAGGGGUCGCCCACCGGAAGCUCCUCACCACCGACAAGAAGCAGCUCGCGGAGAUGCUGAAGCAGUCGCCGUACUUCCUCUCCACCCCGGUCCGCCUCCAGGUCCGCGCCGGCGAGCGGUCCACCGCCGUCGUGCACUCGGGCACCGUACUCCCAAUCAAGGUGCAGACAGAUGAAUCCACAGGGAAUAUAUUGAACUUGGUGAUGGUGGAAGCAGAUGAAGGAACAAUGCUGAAGGUGAAUUUGCCCGUAGUGUUCAAAGGGGAGGAUGUCUGCCCUGGGUUAAAGAAAGGUGGCUUCUUGCAGAAAAUCAGGACCAGCUUGGUGUAUCUCUGCCCGGCGGAGCACAUCCCUCCAAAAAUCGAGGUGGACCUGACAAAUGUUGACAUUGGGGAUAGAGUGUUAAUGCAGGACAUCCCUGUCCAUCCAUCGCUCAAGUUACUGAGUAAAAACGAGACGAUGCCCGUCUGCAAGGUCCUGUCCUCCAAGCCAGCCGAGUAG
rnacentral:rRNA from 1 species